CAUGCAAGUCGAGCGAAUGGAUUGAGAGCUUGCUCUCAUGAAGUUAGCGGCGGACGGGUGAGUAACACGUGGGUAACCUGCCCAUAAGACUGGGAUAACUCCGGGAAACCGGGGCUAAUACCGGAUAACAUUUUGAACUGCAUGGUUCGAAAUUGAAAGGCGGCUUCGGCUGUCACUUAUGGAUGGACCCGCGUCGCAUUAGCUAGUUGGUGAGGUAACGGCUCACCAAGGCAACGAUGCGUAGCCGACCUGAGAGGGUGAUCGGCCACACUGGGACUGAGACACGGCCCAGACUCCUACGGGAGGCAGCAGUAGGGAAUCUUCCGCAAUGGACGAAAGUCUGACGGAGCAACGCCGCGUGAGUGAUGAAGGCUUUCGGGUCGUAAAACUCUGUUGUUAGGGAAGAACAAGUGCUAGUUGAAUAAGCUGGCACCUUGACGGUACCUAACCAGAAAGUCACGGUUAACUACGAGCCAGCA
rnacentral:rRNA from 1 species